UGUCUCAGGAUGCUUUUGUCAAGAUUGUAAAGCUAGAACCUAAGCCAUGGGAGCUCCACACCGUCCGUAGCAACACAAACUGUUCUCGAGGCUAGGGCUGGGAACCAUCCUUGCCGCCUCCUUUACCUAGAACCAAGGAGAGAACCAACCCAGGACCAACUCAGCUCUCACGAGCCGGCAACAACUUCUCUGCUGUCUCCUGUGGAUUUCAGGGACCAGGGCUGUGAGGAAGUGAGGGGAGCAGUGGAGCUGGAAUUGAGAGGGCUGCAGAGAGAAAGCAGGUCCAGGGGGACCACCAGCUCAGGCUCUUGAUUCCAAGGUCACAGCAGGCAUCAUUCCACUUUGGGAGAAUACCUGAACUGAGACGGCUGCUGAACUGAACCAGAACCUCAGGAGUUAAAGAACAUCAGGCUGAACGUCAAGAGCUGCCCUGCCUUGUAUAAUCCUGAAGUAUGUCAGAGUCAAUGAUAUGGCAUAUACAAGUGCUUUUAAAAAUUAAGAAAUAAUCUUCAGU